CUUGCUAUUUUUCCUGGCCUGCAUUCAGACGAUGAAGUAGUUCACGGUUGGUGCCUUUGCUCUCCGAUCCAGCAGACUGCUAUAGAUUGAAACGUUGAAACUCUCUGCUGAUGAAGACUCAACAUUUUUCACAACAGGGCAGAGAGGAUCCUGUUGGGGAAACCCUUUCUGCAGAUCCGGAUGCCUUCCAGCACACCGUUACAGCGCAGCUGGUGCAUCACCAGGGGGUUCUCCAUGGCCCCGGGAGUCUUGGUCUCGUUAGGGAUGAUGCAGCGUACAAAGUGAGGACUGAGCUGACCUAUCACCAUCCAGGGCCCUGCAUUAAUGGAAGCACACCUGAAAGGAGAUGCUCCCUUAUCUUGAUCACCCUUGUUGUUGCUUGCCAGAAAAAUAAAAGGACAAAGAUAACUUGUGAAAUUCCUGCUGGGUGCCUUUGGGGCUUGCUGGUUCAAAGAAGAGCCUGGGGACAGCUUGUGACGUGAAUGGUCAGGGCAGGUUUAAGUUCUUCAUUGACCAGCAGCAACAGACUAUGGACUUCUUUGUGGACCCUUCGCUUGUCUUCUGAUGAGGCAAUGAUCAGGACGUGGCAAAAUAUUAGGAAGGUCUGUCUUGGAGGACUCUACCCCUUAAUACACCAAGUCCAGAAUAUCUGUUGUCAGACAUAAUUCAAAUGGCCUUCCCUCAUCGGGUUUUGAAAAGAGCAUGAUUGUUACUACCUCCACGUCUGAUAUGAAGAGGAUCCUGUUGGGGAAACCCUUUCGGCAGAUCCGGAUGCCUUCCAGCACACCGUUACAGCGCAGCUGGUGCAUCACCAGGGGGUUCUCCAUGGCCCCGGGAGUCUUGGUCUCGUUGGGGAUGAUGCAGCGUACAAAGUGAGGCUGUCUAAACCCCUUUGGAAAUCUUCAUCUGUGUUGUGUCCCCUUCCUGGCUUUCAUCUCCUUUUCAUACACUGAGUCGUAGCCACUCAGUGUAUGAGACUCCUCUAAGUUACGUUGAAAACAAAGGGGACUACAGCACGGGAGAUCCAAAAGCUCCUAGGUGGCCAUCUGAGAGUCUCACUCCUCAUCUAGCCCUUUCUGUGAUGAAGAAUGAUAAAAGAGAAGACAAACAGAUGGAUCAGAGACAGAAGACCAACAAGGUAGUAUACAAAACUACAUUUUAGAAAUUGUUCAACAUCAAGUUGUUGUAGUGUAUCGGACACAAAUCAUUUCAAAUGUUCCAAAACUUUCAAAAACUCAUAUUGAAUUUGUACGAUUGGAAAAAAACUCUAGCACUAAAUGUAUGUCGAGGAACAGAUCAUAUCAUGUAUUAAUGUAAUAUAUGCAAUAUCUAAGUUGAAGAGCCAAGGGAAUCUUCAGUAAAUGUCAAGACAUUUAUUUUUGGUUUGGGUUUUUUGUAACUGUGAAAGCUGUGAUUCUAAUUCUAUUCUCCAGAGGUUUGUUUUCUUAAUGAUUUUAGUAGAAGAUUAAACAAAAGUGCUGAUAAGUGUGCAUGAGAGAUAAUAAUUGCUAAUAAUAAUUGCCUUUUGUUAACAAUUCACAAGAGGGAACAUAUAAUAACAAAAACUAUCUGCUCUACCUAGAUCAUCUAUCAAUCAAUGCAUUGUUUCACAUUUUUAUUUAUUUUUUGGGGAACAUUGAUAUGAUUGGGUGACAUUGCUGUCAUGGCAGCCUCAUCAAAAAAUCCAUCUCAUGGAACGAUGAAAUUAAUUUAAGGGCUCCUGUGUUCAGAAGUAACCAUGAGCAGUUCCUGGUUUGAGUCUGGACAGGGACCUCUUUGGCAUGGCAUUAAUUCUCUCUUCUUUAAUUUUUACUGUCAUGUCACUAACAAAUCAGUUACAUUGUCAUGGACCCUUCCCUGUGAGAAAAAAACAAACGCAUUACCACUAACCUUUUAAUACAUUAAUACAAUUCACCAGAUUCAGAAAAAACAGCCAAAAUAAAAUUGAUCUGUACAAAGACUGGUUUGAUUUAUU